AUUGAACGCUGGCGGCAGGCCUAACACAUGCAAGUCGAGCGGAUGAAGGGAGCUUGCUCCUGGAUUCAGCGGCGGACGGGUGAGUAAUGCCUAGGAAUCUGCCUGGCAGUGGGGGAUAACGUCCGGAAACGGGCGCUAAUACCGCAUACGUCCUGAGGGAGAAAGUGGGGGAUCUUCGGACCUCACGCUAUCAGAUGAGCCUAGGUCGGAUUAGCUAGUUGGUUGGGUAAAGGCCUACCAAGGCGACGAUCCGUAACUGGUCUGAGAGGAUGAUCAGUCACACUGGAACUGAGACACGGUCCAGACUCCUACGGGAGGCAGCAGUGGGGAAUAUUGGACAAUGGGCGAAAGCCUGAUCCAGCCAUGCCGCGUGUGUGAAGAAGGUCUUCGGAUUGUAAAGCACUUUAAGUUGGGAGGAAGGGCAGUAAGUUAAUACCUUGCUGUUUUGACGUUACCAACAGAAUAAGCACCGGCUAACUUCGUG
rnacentral:rRNA from 1 species